AAAGAAGUGAGCACAUUAUUUUAUUCACGGCAUGACAGCAUUGAGCAGUUACGAAUGCAGUCUCUCAGAGCACUGGGCAUAGCAGGUUCGGUGUCAUAACUUCUUCAAAGGAGUGAUUCGUUCUUGAAGAGUUCACACAUCAGUUUCUUGGGUCACUGAUCUACUAGAGCGCAAUGUGCAUGGAUCAUCUGCAUCUUAACCAUUCACUUCAGCUCUUCCGAAGAAAUGAACUUCCCGUCACUGGAAACUUGUCAGAAUUCUGAAGCAACUAGUUUUGACAGACAAUGCGUUCUGAAGUUGAGCAUUGUCAUUUGGUAAUGGCAAAAAAAAAGAAAAUCAAGUACGGUGAUCUAAGAAUAAGUAAAUUAUCAUUAAACUUUCAGAAAAAAUACUUUCACUAGAGUACUGAAAUAGUACAUUCACGAGUCAGAUAAAAAUAAAAUAAAUAAUCAGGUGAAUUAAUGUAAAUUAAUUAUCAAUGAAUAAACAGAAAGAUACUAAAAAAGGAAAUAUUUUAAAUGGAUCUAUGAUUAGUUUAAAAUUCUGUGAGCUGCUGUCAGGCUCUAAAAAUAUAAAAUAACAUGAAAUUACAUUUUGUUACUUGAUAUAGGCGUAAGUUUUCGAUAAUAGAAUCAAUGUAAGAGGGAUAGAAAAAGAUAAAUUAGUAGAGCUGAGACUCUUUUCCUUAAGUGUGAAUAUAUAUUCUGCUGUUAAGAUUCAA